rnacentral:rRNA from 1 species
AUUGAACGCUGGCGGCAUGCCUUACACAUGCAAGUCGAACGGCAGCGCGGGAGCAAUCCUGGCGGCGAGUGGCGAACGGGUGAGUAAUACAUCGGAACGUGCCCAAUCGUGGGGGAUAACGCAGCGAAAGCUGUGCUAAUACCGCAUACGAUCUACGGAUGAAAGCAGGGGAUCGCAAGACCUUGCGCGAAUGGAGCGGCCGAUGGCAGAUUAGGUAGUUGGUGAGGUAAAGGCUCACCAAGCCUUCGAUCUGUAGCUGGUCUGAGAGGACGACCAGCCACACUGGGACUGAGACACGGCCCAGACUCCUACGGGAGGCAGCAGUGGGGAAUUUUGGACAAUGGGCGAAAGCCUGAUCCAGCCAUGCCGCGUGGAGGAUGAAGGCCUUCGGGUUGUAAACUGCUUUUGUACGGAACGAAACGGUCUUUUCUAAUAAAGAAGGCUAAUGACGGUACCGGAAGAAUAAGCACCGGCUAACUACGUG